CCCUUCUUUUUUUUAUUAGAAUGAAAUAGAUUGCAAAUCCACAAGGACUCUCCAACUUCGAUACUCACAAAGGUCGACCAUUGGCUCAGCAAUAGGUUCAUUAUCUAUGGGUCACGUAGAAGAUCUACAGUUCAUCCAUCCCUCACUAGCCAUAUGCCUGAGUUAUCACCUCCAAAGCAUGGAAGCAAAUCUCCCUCCAUAUAAAUGAACACCUCUGCUCAGCCUAAACC
rnacentral:lncRNA from 1 species